rnacentral:misc_RNA from 1 species
UGUGAACUGCAGGACACAUGAACAUCGACAUUUCGAACGCACAUUGCGGUCCACGGAUCUCGUUCCCGGACCACGCCUGGCUGAGGGUCGUUUAUAAAAACGAACCCGACUGCUCACUCGCAAGAGAGAGCGUUGAUCUGGGCGCUCGUGUCUCUCUGUCUGUCUGUCUGUUGUUGUAUCCUCUCUUCGAGAGUGUAGCAGCAGCAGCAGCAGUCAAGACGACACGUCGCCUCAAACGAAACGCAAGAAAAAUGAUGAAUUCGUUCGUCUAGCUGGCGCGCGCGCUUACCGCUUGGAGAGUACUCGUUCGUCGAGUACUUCCGAUCGUUCUGCGUCGAGUCCCGGAGCUUCUCGCCUCGUCGAGCAGCGGACCGACGUCUAGCACACGAUCAGGCUCGUCCAUGAUUCGGUCAUUGAACGCGCGCGCGCCCCUCUUAAUCGACGGCCGGCUAGCUCGAAAUUUGUGAAUGAAUCUUUUUUCUCGAUCGACGACCUCAGAGCAGGCAAGAC